rnacentral:rRNA from 1 species
GACAGAGGGUGCAAACGUUGCUCGGAAUCACUGGGCGUAAAGGGCGUGUAGGCGGGAAGGAAAGUCAGAUGUGAAAUCCCCAGGCUCAACCUGGGAACUGCAUUUGAAACUCCCUUUCUUGAGUACCGGAGAGGAAAGUGGAAUUCCUGGUGUAGAGGUGAAAUUCGUAGAUAUCAAGAGGAACACCUGCGGCGAAGGCGGGUUGCUGGGCCGACACUGACGCUGAGGCGCGAAAGCUAGGGGAGCAAACGGG